rnacentral:misc_RNA from 1 species
AGAAAGAUAAGAGUAAAGUUCAUAGAGGAGAUGAUCUAUUAAAAACAGCCCCUGAUUUCUUAUUAAUAUGAUAGGAUGGUUUCAUGAUAAAUUUAUCAAGGGAAAAAAUUGCUCUAUUCUUUUUCCAACUCAAUUUUUCCAUGCCAUGAAGCUCCUUAAACUUAUAUCCUUCAAUAGAGCCAUGCAUGUGGCUGCUAUAAAAUACAAGGCAUUCAAAACUGAUCAAGGACAAAAAUUUUAAGGGUACGCCCUAUGAUAAGAUGCAAUCACAAAUUUUAACACAUCAACGUGUAAGGUUUGUGGCUGGUGACUCUACCCUCAUUUAUCAAGGCCUUCAUCCAUGGAAUCUUUUGGUCUUUUUAUUUAUGUAAUCUUUAACCCUUUAAUGCUUAAUAAUUGGAAAAACAACAAAAGUGGCUCAUUUCCUAUCUCUUUAUGGAAGAAAAUGUUAACUGAUAGUAUAUGGGGCAUAUAUAAGUUUC